rnacentral:lncRNA from 1 species
ACGGUGAACACUUGACGAGUGUCGGCGGCUCGUGGCUUGAUGACUCCACGGUGCUACUCCGGCUAGGGCUGUGGUUGUUAUUGUUGUUGUUGCAGUUGGUAUCGCCAUUGUUGUUACAGUUACUACCAUUGUUGAGAAUUUCACCAGGGAGGGGGAAAUUAGUCUUCGCCUUGGCGCCGCGGAAUUCUCUGGCGGCGGCGUCGUAGGCCUUGGCCGCUUCCUCAGCUGUAUCAAAAGUUCCAAGCCAAACACGGCUUUUCUUCCCUGGA